rnacentral:rRNA from 1 species
UACGAACCGUGCAAACGUUGUUCGGAAUCACUGGGCUUAAAGGGCGCGUAGGCGGGCAGGCAAGUCCGGGGUGAAAUCUUUCGGCUUAACCGGAAAAGUGCCUUGGAUACUGCUUGUCUGGAGGGAGGUAGGGGCAUGUGGAACUUCUGGUGGAGCGGUGAAAUGCGUUGAUAUCAGAAGGAACGCCGGUGGCGAAAGCGACGUGCUGGACCUCUUCUGACGCUGAUGCGCGAAAGCUAGGGGAGCAAACGGG